AACGAACGUUGGCGGCGUGGAUUAGGCAUGCAAGUCGAACGCGAAAGGGGAGCUUGCUCCCUGAGUAAAGUGGCGAACGGGUGAGUAACGCGUGGGAAAUCUGCCUUGGAGCGUGGAAUAACACCCCUAACGGGGUGCUAAUACCGCAUGUGGUCGUUGGACGACAUCGCCCGACGAUUAAAGAUGGGGACCGCAAGGCCUGUCACUCCAGGAUGAUCCCGCGUCCGAUUAGCUUGUUGGUAGGGUAAUGGCCUACCAAGGCGACGAUCGGUAGCUGGUCUGAGAGGAUGGUCAGCCACACUGGGACUGAGAUACGGCCCAGACUCCUACGGGAGGCAGCAGUCGAGAGGCUUCGGCAAUGGGCGAAAGCCUGACCGAGCGACGCCGCGUGAGCGAAGAAGCCCUUCGGGGUGUAAAGCUCUUUUUUGAGGGAAGAAACGCAGUGACCUAAUACGUCAUUGUCUGACGGUACCUCAAGAAUAAGCUCCGGCUAACUCCGUGC
rnacentral:rRNA from 1 species